rnacentral:rRNA from 1 species
AGUGAACGCUGGCGGCGUGCCUAAUACAUGCAAGUCGAACGGAGUGGCGCACGGGUGAGUAAUGUAUAGCUAAUCUGCCCUACACUAGAGGACAACAGUUUGAAACGACUGCUAAUACUCUAUAUGGUAGGAUGAGGCUAUAUUGUAUCAGCUAGUUGGUGAGGUAAUGGCUCACCCAGGGUAUGACGCAUAACUGGUCUGAGAGGAUGAUCAGUAACACUGGAACUGAGGCACGGUCCAGAAUCAUACGGGAGGGAGCAGUAGGGAAUAUUGCCCAAGGGGGGAAAGCGUGAAGCAGCAACGGCGCGUGGAGGACGACAAUUGUCGGAGCGGGAACUCCUGUUGUUAGGGAAGCGGUACCUAACGAAUAAGCACCGGCUAACUCCGUGCCAGCAGCCGCGGUAAUUC